rnacentral:rRNA from 1 species
AUUGAACGCUGGCGACAUGCCUUACACAUGCAAGUCGAACGGCAGCACGGGUGCUUGCCCCUGGUGGCGAGUGGCGAACGGGUGAGUAAUACAUCGGAACAUGUCCUGUAGUGGGGGAUAGCCCGGCGAAAGCCGGAUUAAUACCGCAUACGAUCUACGGAUGAAAGCGGGGGACCUUCGGGCCUCGCGCUAUAGGGUUGGCCGAUGGCUGAUUAGCUAGUUGGUGGGGUAAAGGCCUACCAAGGCGACGAUCAGUAGCUGGUCUGAGAGGACGACCAGCCACACUGGGACUGAGACACGGCCCAGACUCCUACGGAAGGCAGCAGUGGGGAAUUUUGGACAAUGGGCGAAAGCCUGAUCCAGCAAUGCCGCGUGUGUGAAGAAGGCCUUCGGGUUGUAAAGCACUUUUGUCCGGAAAGAAAUCCUUGGCCCUAAUACGGUCGGGGGAUGACGGUACCGGAAGAAUAAGCACCGGCUAACUACGUG